GAUAGGCUGGAAAUUCAGUCUCCCAGCGACUGACACGUGUCUCUGUCGAGUAAAACUAUGCGUUUCAUUUAAUUUUUUUUGUUGGGCUUUUGCGUAAUCCAUCUUUCUUAUGGGUUUCGAUUGGGCUUCAUACCCUAAUCUGGAUUGGAGCGCAUCUUCGUGUUCUUCGCUUCUCUCUGAUCGGCAGAAGGGACGAUUCAGCUUUCUGUAACAGUAUGCGUUGUGAUUUUCCGUAUUAAAUUCUCUUAAUUUGUAAGCCCACUACGAGACCUUCGAUUGCUCUGUACGUCGGCGAAAUCAGCCAUGAUGAAUCUGAGAUGGAGUUUUGAUGUUCUUUCUGGUCUUUUUAUUGUUGUAUCUGGUGAUGAUAUGAUACAGAAAGCGAAGAGAUAUGGGAUCUGCAUGUUUUCAAAAAGUGCACAGGAAAAAGCAGAGGUUGUCAGACAAGAGCUAAAGAAGGCUCACCAAGGAAAUAUGAGCCCUUGGCCGGAGCUUCUCACGCCAAAUGAAUCGUCCUUGAGCUCAUCCAAACUCUGGUAUAUGUAAGUGUGCUAGAGUACAACUUGUCAAGAAUGGAAAGAAGGACGAGGUUUUGAUCUCUGGAUUUGGGCGUAAGGGUCAUGCUGUGGGAGAUAUUCCAAGAGUAAGGUGCAAGGUCCAUUCGUCAAAGUUUCUGGUGUUUUACUCCCUUCUCUGUACAAGGACAAGAAGGAGAAGCCAAGGUCUUAAAACAAAACCUUCAAAGCUUUUGAAUUUUAUUUUUGAUGGCAUAGCACUUUUCAGUAUUUUAGUUAAAUAAAAGAACUUUAGUGUUCUGUUCUACUUUGAGAUUCAGUAACUUGGUGUGUGAAAACUUGUAUUCUGAUGAGCAUUUGAGUUUAGUUUAUUCGACCUUAUAAUAUGACAUUGCCAAUGGCAUGGAAUUCUAUUACUAA